CAGUAGCCACGGGAAUACGAAGGGUGCAAGCGUUACUCGGAAUUACUGGGCGUAAAGCGUGCGUAGGUGGUGGUUUAAGUCCGUUGUGAAAGCCCUGGGCUCAACCUGGGAAUUGCAGUGGAUACUGGGUCACUAGAGUGUGGUAGAGGAUAGUGGAAUUUCCGGUGUAGCAGUGAAAUGCGUAGAGAUCGGAAGGAACAUCUGUGGCGAAGGCGACUAUCUGGGCCAACACUGACACUGAGGCACGAAAGCGUGGGGAGCAAACAGGAUUAGAUACCCCAGUAGUCCCUGUCUCUUAUAA
rnacentral:rRNA from 1 species